ACCCUGGGGAUAACAGGCUUAUCUCCCCCAAGAGUCCACAUCGACGGGGAGGUUUGGCACCUCGAUGUCGGCUCAUCACAUCCUGGGGCUGUAGUAGGUCCCAAGGGUUGGGCUGUUCGCCCAUUAAAGUGGUACGCGAGCUGGGUUCAGAACGUCGUGAGACAGUUCGGUCCCUAUCCGUCGCAGGCGUAGGAAAUUUGAGAAGACCUGUCCUUAGUACGAGAGGACCGGGAUGGACGUACCUCUGGUGUACCAGUUGUCCUGCCAAGGGCAUGGCUGGGUAGCUAUGUACGGAAUGGAUAAGCGCUGAAAGCAUCUAAGCGCGAAGCCAACUUCAAGAUAAGAUUUCCCACCGCAAGGGUAAGACCCCAGAAAGACUAUCUGGUUGAUAGGUCGAAGGUGUAAGUGCAGCAA
rnacentral:rRNA from 1 species